AUGAAGGGCCCAUCCAUCUCCUGUGGGUCUGCUCUCAAAGUCGCAGGUCUCCAGGGCCUGUUAUCUCUCCGUCUUUUCCCACGGUCUGUUUCGGGGUAUGCAGGACUGUUUUCUGGGACUUCUAGCGGGGCUUCCGCCUUCCUUCCCCGGGGCCCGGGCGUUAGCUGCGGCUCCGUGGCGGUGGCGAUGGCGGGCGCUAGGGCCGCGCGGAAGGGGCCGGGGGGGGGGCGCGCCUCGCCUCGCGCGCGGCAUGCUGGGGGCUGUAGUCUCGGGACUCGGCCGCCGGGUGGCCACGUGCGCCACCGCCCGCCGCGAGGCGCCAUUCCUGGGCCGCCGCCGCCGCCGCCGCCGCGGCCGGCCCCGGCCGCGGCGCUCGAGCCGGGCUUCCGGCAGAGCGAAGCGGCCGGGUUUGAGAGACCCCCGGGUUGCACUGCAGUGGGGAAGCUUGCGCUGGGACUGCAGUGUCUGCGCUGUCUGAGGCUGCCAUGUGCUGCAGGGGCUGGUCUGGGACAACGGAGCUGCUGCCGAGCAUUGCCUGCUGGGAUCAAGACUGUGGUUGCAGCUGCUGAGGAAGGCGGUGGAUUUUACUCUGCCUCCAUCAACAAGCGCUGGCUGGCAAAGUUACGUCAUGUCCCAACGGAGACUCUUAGGCAAGACGGAGGAGUUCAGGCAUUCAGAACAUUGGGGAACGACUAUGUGCUGCCGUGA
rnacentral:lncRNA from 1 species